AUCAUCUUAUACAUAUAUUAUCCUACAUGAGUCCCAAAAGUCAAGAGAAUGUCAAGUUAGUAAGAUGGUUCAUAGUGGUGGAAUAGAAAAAGUCAACUGGUCAAAACUGGGGUUCCCUAGACCCUAUCUCCUACAUUUUUUGUCAUAUGAAAAUGAUUACAAGGGAAAAGUUACUCAAAAUAACAUUACAAACAACUUUUAUUUUUAAUUCAAGAUCUAGUUUUCCU
rnacentral:lncRNA from 1 species